AACGAACGCUGGCGGCAGGCUUAACACAUGCAAGUCGAACGCCCCGCAAGGGGAGUGGCAGACGGGUGAGUAACGCGUGGGAAUCUACCCAGAUCUACGGAACAACAGUUGGAAACGACUGCUAAUACCGUAUACGCCCUACGGGGGAAAGAUUUAUCGGAUUUGGAUGAGCCCGCGUUGGAUUAGCUAGUUGGUGGGGUAAUGGCCUACCAAGGCGACGAUCGAUAGCUGGUCUGAGAGGAUGAUCAGCCACACUGGGACUGAGACACGGCCCAGACUCCUACGGGAGGCAGCAGUGGGGAAUAUUGGACAAUGGGCGCAAGCCUGAUCCAGCCAUGACGCGUGAGUGAUGAAGGCCUUAGGGUUGUAAAGCUCUUUCACCGAUGAAGAUAAUGACGGUAGUCGGAGAAGAAGCCCCGGCUAACUUCGUGCCAGCCGCCGCUGUAAGAC
rnacentral:rRNA from 1 species